rnacentral:rRNA from 1 species
GAUGAACGCUGGCGGCGUGCCUAAUACAUGCAAGUCGAGCGAACGGGCGAUAAGCUUUCUUCUCUGAUGUUAGCGGCUGACGGGUGAGUAACACGUGGAUCACCUACCUCUAAGACUGGGAUAACUUCGUGAAACCGGAGCUAAUACCGGAUGAUAUUUUGAACCGCAUGGUUCAAAAGUGAAAGACGGUCUUGCUGUCACUUAUAGAUGGAUCCGCGCUGCAUUAGCUAGUUGGUAAGGUAACGGCUUACCAAGGCAACGAUGCAUAGCCGACCUGAGAGGGUGAUCGGCCACACUGGAACUGAGACACGGUCCAGACUCCUACGGGAGGCAGCAGUAGGGAAUCUUCCGCAAUGGGCGAAAGCCUGACGGAGCAACGCCGCGUGAGUGAUGAAGGUCUUCGGAUCGUAAAACUCUGUUAUUAGGGAAGAACAGAUGUGUAAGUAACUGUGCACAUCUUGACGGUACCUAAUCAGAAAGCAACGGCUAACUACGUG